UUUAAUUUUCUUUUCAUUUCCCCCUUCUCUUUCACUCUCGUCUCUCUCUCUCUCCUCUCUCUACCAUGCUAAGUUCAUCUCACAAAGAAGAGCUUGAGAGAAUCCUGAGGUUACAAUUAAUGCUUGGCAAGAGAAAUUAAGGAGACCCGUAUCUUGGCGGGGCAACCCAGAUCUGAACCCGAGGUUUGCAGCCAUGGCGAUGUCUUUAUUUUCUUGUUUUAUAAACAGAUCUGAGCUUUAAUUUUAGUCUUGCAGCUCUUGUUUGAAUGGUUGUUACCUAUUGUAUUGUGUUAUUAUGCUAAAAGGGUGUGUUUGGUAUGAAGAAAAUGUUUUUUGUUUUGUCAUAAAAAAAAAAAGAUGUUUUUGUUUGAAGAAAGUUGGGAAAUUUUUAGGCAAGGGCCAAGAAUUUUCUUUAAAAAAAAUUCUGGCCAGAGACAGAAAAGGGAUGUUCUGUUAAGGGCGGUUGCCCCUCUCUGUUGUGCCAAUGAUUUUCUUUUUAGCAACUAAACCAACAGCCCUUUGUUUAUGAAAAAUAUGCAUGCAUUUUCUUCAAUCUACAGCUUCAGCUGUAUAUCUCAGUGUGUGUUUCUGUUUCCUCCUUUUGGAGUAAUUGAGCAAAAGAGGUUGUGAUAAAGAUAAUGUUUUACUGUCUGGGCUAACAAGGGCAUUGAGGGCAGUCCGACCCGUAUCUUGGCUUGGAAAAUCCCAGGAUGGCCUGCAUCUGAGGCUCUCUUUGGCAUGCGACUGGUGAUUUUGCAGCCAUGGCGUGGUUGCCAUCUCUUUGUCCGAGCAAAAAUGUAGUAUCUGAGCCUCAAAUUUUUGUGCUUUAAAGGGUCGUUUGGUUGCUGGUUAGGAAGUGAGUUAUUCGUGUUAGGAGGAUUAUUUCCCCCUUUAGAGUAAUUGAGCAUGUUCCUGAAUCAACUUCCAAAUAUCAUCUUCUUAUCAGCUGAGCCAUGUUAGCAUAUACUAGUAGUCAAUAGCAUAAUUAAACGUACUUAUAUUUGAUAAGGUUGACAUUCUCUCAUUCCUAUCAAAUUGAAAGAGAUUUUGGCGUUGAGAUGAUGAAAAAGAAUACUAUAAAUGCAUGACCUGUACUUCAGAAAUUCAAUUCUUUGGAACCUAUUGAAAAUGUAUGAAGGAUUUUGCCCAUUUCGACUCUUCUCAGCAUACACUGUGCCAGUGUUCAGGAAAGCUGGCGCUUCACCGCUACGCUUCGCUUAAAGCGGUGAAGCGAAGCUUUGUUGCUUCAGGUAAGUGGAGCGGAGGCUACCCAAUUAAGCGAACGCUUCUGAGAAUGAAGCGGUGAAGCGGCAAGUCAUUCCCUAGUUGAUGAAGUUGAAGAAGAUGAUAAUGAAAUUGAAGAAGAUGAUGAGCAAUAUGAUGAUGAUGUGGGAGUACAAGAUUUUGACAAUCUUGUAGAAGAAUAAGAACUAGAUGUCGAACUAUUAGUAGCUUUGAUUUUGUUUGUCCUAUGGUCUGGAGGAUUUUGUGAUAUCCACUUUAGUUUUUUAUUUGAACUUUUAGUCUAUGGAUAUCUACUUUAGUUUUGAAUUUGAACUUUUGCUUAUAUAUAUAUUCUCUAUUUAUUUUGCUCUUUUUAAAAAAAAUUGUGUUUCACCUCAAUGAAGUGGGCGCUUCGCUUUUGCAUCUUUUGCUAUUGUUGUUUCAUCUUUUGCAUAUCUUAUAAGCUUAAACAGGAAGAGAGCGGAUCAGUGAGUGACUUAAGAUACUACAAGAACUUGUUCCCAAUGGUUCCAAGGUUGAUUUGGUCACCAUGUUAGAGAAAGCAAUCAGUUACGUCAAGUUUCUUCAAUUGCAAGUGAAGGUGUUGGCAACAGAUGAAUUUUGGCCGACACAAGGUGGAAAAGCUCCAAAUAUUUCUCAAGUAAAAGAUGCCAUUGAUGCCAUCCUUGCCAGUCAACGAGACAGAAACUCAACUUCCAAGUGAUUAUAUAGUACCUAGCUAGAUUAAUCUGUUGAAGAAAAUGAAAGAAUUAAAAGGGUUUCACAAAUAAUUGAAGUAGCGCAGCAAUGGCUUCAAAGGAAAUAGAGUUCCCUUUGGAGAACUAAUAUGGUGGUGAAAAUUUAGCCUUAAUUUGUGCAUUCCGAGCUUCUUUGAUUAACCAUGUAUUAGAAGUCAUCUAAAAGCUAAAAAAAGAAGAAAUUUUCUUUGUUUUAGUUCGUCUUUUUUGUCAUGCACUCAUGCUUUAUCAGUUUGUAAUAUGGGGAUUUUUAGUUCGAAUUAGAAGUACUUUUAAGUUUAUAAUGUUUAAGUGUUUGAAUGAUGUUUAUGAUGUUUAAGUGUUUGAAUGUAGUUUUAAUUUUAAGUACUUUGAGGUUGAAUUUGAUUGUUUAUAAGUGUUUGAAUGGACAAUGUUUAAGUGUUCAAGUGUUUGAACAUUGUUUAUGGU